UACGUAGGGGGCAAGCGUUGUUCGGAUUUAUUGGGCGUAAAGAGCGUGUAGGCGGCCAGGUAGGUCUGGUGUGAAAACUCGAGGCUCAACCUCGAGAUGUCAUCGGAAACCAUCUGGCUAGAGUCCGGAAGAGGAGAGUGGAAUUCCUGGUGUAGCGGUGAAAUGCGCAGAUAUCAGGAAGAACACCUAUGGCGAAGGCAGCUCUCUGGGACGGUACUGACGCUGAGACGCGAAAGCGUGGGGAGCGAACAGG
rnacentral:rRNA from 1 species